GAAGAAGAUUUCAAAUGACGUAACGUGUCCUAUAUAUAUUUCUGCGACACAGUUUGCGGCCUUUUCCUCUUCUGUUGAGAGUGAGUCUGGAGGCCGUAGCAGGACUUCGUCAGCAACAGGCUGUGACCUUAUCCAUCAGUUUGUGAUGACCCCCUGGGACAUGAGGACACGUACCUCGUGCCAAAUCAAAUGCAACUGCAUUGAUUAUUGCAGUCUGUCACUGGGAGCUGGAUGGAUACAGAGACGUGCUAUGAAAUGUUAUGGAGGAGUUGAUGCUGAACAAGGAUGGAGAUUCAGUGAGGUGCUGGAGAAGACCUGAGUACAGCAGGGGCUCCUCACUGUCCUGGCCUUCAGCACUGAUGCAGCAACAUACAGAGGGUGUGUGUUAGCAUGACUCUUUUUUUUUCCAUGACACCACUCCAGAGUGUGAAAACAAACAGCAGGUGCCUGCUCGACAUGAAUAGAGAUGAUGCCAUGAGGAAAACGCAACAUCUUGAAAGGUUUGAGCUGCAGCAAAGGAUAGACCUCCAGUCCCAGACUUCAGGAGGGCUUCAGAGGUUGGAGCUGCAGCAGAGGGUAGCCUCCUGAUCCCAGACCAUAGCAGGCUGUCAAAGAAUCCUGAAACCGUCUGGGAUACAUGACUGCCAGCUGUCUCACUAAGCAGCAGGUUGGUGCAGAGCCAUCACUGAGCAGCUGUGAGGACGUACGGUCACUCGCCUCAGAACAACGUUAACAGUUGCUUUUUAGAAUGAUGUUGGCUAAAGCAGCCGUGUGUUUUACUGCAUCACAUCAACUUUGUUCUAUAUGCUGUGUACACAAUAACAAAUAAAUACACUUCUCGUCCCCAGA